UUUUUGAAAACAACAACUUUUGAAAAAUAAGCUGGUGUCAGCAAUUGAAUAUUGAGCUAAAUUUAAUUCAGCAACAUUAAUAUAAAGAAGUGAAAGACUUAUAAUGGUAGUGUAAAAUGUCUUGAAAUUCUGUCAGCAUGAAGUAUUGUGUGAUGAAAACAAUGUGUUUUUUACUGCAAUGUGGAAAUCAAUAAUAAGUUGGUUGGAAAGGAGGUUGAACUGCCUGUUGUUGUUUUUGGAAUACUGAAGAACAGUUUUAACAGGUUAAACUCUUGCCACAAGGCAAAAUUGACAUCGAUGGGAAGAUCCUUUGGAAAGAAUGUGCAUCAUCGCCUGCCUGACGUAUGGACUUUUAAACCUGGUUUUUACCCUGCACAAGCUGGCAAACUUGAGGGGAACAAGAGUGGGAAAACCUCGCCCUGUCCUUGACCAAGAAAGCUCGAUUUGUUGAGAGAUCAACUGGCAUAAGAGAUGCUCAAGAGGAGAAGGACACAAGCAGCAUCAAUGGUACAACUACGUGUCGCUCCAGCGCCCGCUUUCCAGGUCUCUACCAGCUGCUUUCCAGGUCCCUCCACCCGCCAAGAUCAGGUCUAAUUCCCUGCACUGGCUGCUUUACAGGUCCCCUAGCAGUCAAGGUCUCUCCAGUAGCUGCUGUGCAGGUCCCAACACCGUAUGCCGUCAAGGUUCCUCCAUAAGCUGAAAUCCAGGUUCCUCAUUCCACUGCGGUGCAGGUACCUCCAACAGCUGAGAUCCAGGUCUCUGCAGCAGCUGCGGUCUAAAUACUCCACCCGCAGUGGUCCAUUGCGGUCAACCUUUUGCUUUAAAAUCUUCCAUAAAUGUCUAUUAUUUUAUAAUGUAUUGUAAAAAUAAUCUGUUUGUAUAAAUUUGCGGUGUACUAUUUUUGUCAUAUAAACAUAAUUUUCGUA